rnacentral:rRNA from 1 species
GACGAACGCUGGCGGCGCGCCUAACACAUGCAAGUCGAGCGGGAAGCUUUUUAAGGAUUCUUCGGAUGAAUUAAAAAGUGGAGAGCGGCGGACGGGUGAGUAACGCGUGAGAAACCUGCCCUAUACAGGGGGAUAGCCAUUGGAAACGAUGAUUAAUACCCCAUAUGACCACAGUAUCGCAUGAUACAGCGGUGAAAACUCCGGUGGUAUAGGAUGGUCUCGCGUCUGAUUAGCUAGUUGGUGGGGUAACGGCCUACCAAGGCGACGAUCAGUAGCCGGCCUGAGAGGGUGACCGGCCACACUGGAACUGAGACACGGUCCAGACUCCUACGGGAGGCAGCAGUGGGGAAUUUUCCGCAAUGGGCGAAAGCCUGACGGAGCAAGACCGCGUGGGGAGGAAGGUUUUGGAUCGUAAACCCCUUUUGUCAAGGAAGAAGCUCUGACGGUACUUGACGAAUAAGCCUCGGCUAACUCCGUGCCAGCG